rnacentral:lncRNA from 1 species
GGCCGAGGUCAGAGAACAUGCUGCAUUGAGGAACAGGCCUAUGUGGGCUGGUACAGGAAGGUGGGAGAGAGGGCAGGGGUCGGACCACAGCCUCACUAGGACCACACAGACUUCUCAGAACGGGACAAAGAGCUUACAGCUCCUUUGAAAGCUGAUGGUCAAAUGUUCUAGGUAGAGGUGGCCAGGAUCAGGCUCAUGUCUUAUGGUCAGGAGUGCUGUGAGAGGACUCGUGGGAGGUGCGGAGAGGGGUGACGAGGGCAGGGGCAGGAGGCGGCUCACGGUGCGCUGCUACGACAGAAAGGCCAUGCAGAAGGGCGGCUGUGGGGGCCGUCACGGAAGUUCGGCAACCUUACUGUCCCGUCUGUGAGUGGGCAGGGCCUGCCAGGACCACACCCACAGCGAGACAAUGUGGCCGACCUCAUGGGGGCCAGGCUCACAAACAGGCUGCUGGCCGUGAGGCAGACAGCCUGCCACGAGCACCAGGCACACGCAAGUCAUCAUGCCAGGUUGGGGCCGCAGAGACCCUGCCCUUUGAAGUGGUUCAGCUGGGACUCGGAUCCAGAGCAUUUUUAGUUCCGGAGCACAUGACUGUGAUCCCUUAUAUGCAAAGCGCCUGA